rnacentral:rRNA from 1 species
AAAUGCCCACCAAGGCUAUGACGAGUAACUGGUGUGAGAGCACGACCAGUCGCGAUGGGACUGAGAUACGGCCCAUACUUCUACGGAAGGCAGCAGUAGGGAAUCUUCCGCAAUGGACGAAAGUCUGACGGAGCGACACCGCGUGAAGGAUGAAGCAUUUCGGUGUGUAAACUUCUUUUCUGGGGGAAGAAAAUCUGACGGUACCCCAGGAAUAAGGACCGGCUAAUCACGUGCCAGCAGCCGCGGUAAUACGUGAGGUCCGAACGUUAUCCGGAAUUAUUGGGCGUAAAGCGUCCGCAGGUGGUGAAAAAAGUCUGUUAUUAAAUACCAGAGCUCAACUUUGGUGCUGUAAUGGAAACUUUUUCGCUAGAGGAUGGGAGAGGUAUAUGGAAUUGUGCAAGUAGGGGUAAAAUCCGUAGAUAUGCACAGGAACACCAAAAGCGAAGGCAGUAUACUGGACCAUUCCUGACACUCAGGGACGAAAGCGUGGGUAGCAAAAGGGAUUAGAUACCCCUGUAGUCCACGCCGUAAACGAUGCAUGCUCGGUGUAGGGACCCUCGACCUGGAAUCAGUGCCCAAGAUAACUCAUUAAGCAUGCCGCCUGUGUAGUACGAUCGCAAGAUUAAAACACAAAGGAAUAGACGGGGACCCACACAAGCGGUGGAACGCGGGGUUUAAUUCGUUAAUCAGCGAGUAACCUUACCCAGACUUGACAUCCUAUUCGCACCUUUUGAAAUAAUUGGGUCGGUUCGGCCGGAAUAGUGACAGGUCGCUGCAUGGUUGUCGUCAGCUCGUGCCUUGAGGUGUUCGGUUAAGUCCGUUAACGAGCGCAACCCUCGUCGUAUGUUGUAUUUUCAUACGAGACUGCCCUGUAUAACGGGGAGGAAGGUGAGGACGACGUCAAAUCAGCAUGGCCCUUAUGUCUGGGGCUACACCCACGUUACAAUGGCGUGCACAGACCGAAGCAACCCAGCAAUGGCAAGCCAAUC